UCCUAGCUAAUUAAUUCAAUGCAAUCACAAAUAGCCCGUGGAUAUUUGCUUUUGAAUAAUGUUACUGUUAUAUGGAGUGUUGUAUCACAGAAUUAUUUUCAAAUGAGCAAUAAUGCACAGAUAUAUGAGAUACAAAACAAGGUUUACAAUAUGAAACAAGAUGAAAUGACCAUUGCUCAGUACUUUGCUGAAUUAAGUGAUUUAUGGCAGAAACUGGACUAUUACCAAGACUUUUAGGCUACCUGUACUGCUGAUGAGGUUAAAUUUAAAAAAUUGAUAGAAUAAAAAUGAAUGUACGACUUCCUUGCUGGGUUAAAUCUAGAGCACGAUCAUAUCCAGGUCCAAAUGCUUGGAAAGAAUCCCAUGCAUUCCCUAAGGCAAACAUUCAUUUGUGCAGUAGGUGGAAAGCUGAAGAAGUAUCAUGAUUCACUCUAUGUCCACAGACAAGGCAGGAUUAGUAGUUGCUUUCUCUCAUAAUGGUCCAUCAGAUAUCCUAGCAUACAAAGGAAUAUUAUUGGAAGCUACAUGAUCGCUUAUCCAAAGGGUGUGGAGGAAAAUGGACAUGCUCAACAAGACCACAAGCAAAUG
rnacentral:misc_RNA from 1 species